UCGGUAAGAGGCCUUUCCUACCUUCCAACAGUGGCUAUGAAACCAUACUAACAAGAGUUUUGCACACCCAAUAAAUCUGCCUUCACCUGCCCUCCGACAUGCACUCAAAGAUCUGAAAGUCUCAGCCAAGAUUGCAGGAACAGGAGUGACUCCUUUACCAAGUCAGUCAAAUAGAUCAGCGACUGCUUCACCUACAUGCCUU
rnacentral:lncRNA from 1 species